rnacentral:lncRNA from 1 species
GAAAAAAGAAAAGAAAAAAGAUCAAUUAGCGGAGGUUUCUAGGAGAAGGAGCCUAUACUCAUCACUAGAUGAGCUCAAGGAGCCAGUUUUUAAUAGUUCUGAAUCAGAUGAAAAGGCUAUUAGGGCCUGGAAGGCGCUCUCCCGAGCAGGUGAAGCCACUGGACAAUAAUGACAGAGGCAGGCUCUUGCAGCCUACAAGGUCUUAUUGUCCACCCUGGAGUUGUAGAUCAGGAUUGUAAAGGGGAACUUCAGGUUCUCUGUUCUUGUCCUCAAGUUGUCUUUUCUAUAUCACAAGGGGACAAAAUAGCUCAACUAAUAAUUUUGCCAAGCCUACAUGGCUGUUUUUUCUUCCUCUGGUAUUCCUAGAGCUGCCAGAGAGAUUGGUUCUACUGGAAAUGAUUCUGAUUACUUAAUAAUGCCUUUAGAUUGUUGUCAAAUUUUAUCUACUCACGUAGGGGUAAACCCUCGUGGCGUCAGGCCAUUACAGGUCUGACAAAUGGAUGUCACGCAUAUUUCCUCCUUUGAGAGAAAUCAAUAUUUACAUGUUUAGAAGAAACCCACUUAAAAAUGGGAUUGUGGUAUAUACUGAUGGAUCAAAAACUGGCAUAGGUGCCUAUGUGGCUAAUGGUAAAGUGGUAUCCAAACAAUAUAAUGAAAAUUCACCUCAAGUGGUAGAAUGUUUAGUGGUCUUAGAAGUUUUAAAAACCUUUUUAGAACCCCUUAAUAUUGUGUCAGAUUCCUGUUAUGUGGUUAAUGCAGUAAAUCUUUUAGAAGUGGCUGGAGUGAUUAAGCCUUCCAGUAGAGUUGCCAAUAUUUUUCAGCAGAUACAAUUAGUUUUGUUAUCUAGAAGAUUUCCUGUUUAUAUUACUCAUGUUAGAGCCCAUUCAGGCCUACCUGGCCCCAUGGCUCUGGGAAACGAUUUGGCAGAUAAGGCCACUAAAGUGGUGGCUGCUGCCCUAUCAUCCCCGGUAGAGGCUGCAAGAAAUUUUCAUAACAAUUUUCAUGUGACGGCUGAAACAUUACGCAGUCGUUUCUCCUUGACAAGAAAAGAAGCCCGUGACAUUGUUACUCAAUGUCAAAGCUGCUGUGAGUUCUUGCCAGUUCCUCAUGUGGGAAUUAACCCACGCGGUAUUCGACCUCUACAGGUCUGGCAAAUGGAUGUUACACAUGUUUCUUCCUUUGGAAAACUUCAAUAUCUCCAUGUGUCCAUUGACACAUGUUCUGGCAUCAUGUUUGCCUCUCCGUUAACCGGAGAAAAAGCCUCACAUGUGAUUCAACAUUGUCUUGAGGCAUGGAGUGCUUGGGGGAAACCCAAACUCCUUAAGACUGAUAAUGGACCAGCUUAUACGUCUCAAAAAUUCCAACAGUUCUGCCGUCAGAUGGACGUGACCCACCUGACUGGACUUCCAUACAACCCUCAAGGACAGGGUAUUGUUGAGCGUGCGCAUCGCACCCUCAAAACCUAUCUUAUAAAACAGAAGAGGGGAACUUUUGAGGAGACUGUACCCCGAGCACCAAGAGUGUCUGUGUCUUUGGCACUCUUUACACUCAAUUUUUUAAAUAUUGAUGCUCAUGGCCAUACUGCGGCUGAACGUCAUUGUACAGAGCCAGAUAGGCCCAAUGAGAUGGUUAAAUGGAAAAAUGUCCUUGAUAAUAAAUGGUAUGGCCCGGAUCCUAUUUUGAUAAGAUCCAGGGGAGCUAUCUGUGUUUUCCCACAGAAUGAAGACAACCCAUUUUGGAUACCAGAAAGACUCACCCGAAAAAUCCAGACUGACCAAGGGAAUACUGAUGUCCCUCGUCUUGGUGAUGUCCAGGGCGUCAAUAAUAAAGAGAGAGCAGCGUUGGGGGAUAAUGUCGACAUUUCCACUCCCAAUGACGGUGAUGUAUAAUGCUCAAGUAUUCUCUUGCUUUUUUACCACUAACUAGGAACUGGGU